rnacentral:misc_RNA from 1 species
GAUGAAGAACGCAGCGAAAUGCGAUAAGUAGUGUGAAUUGCAGAAUUCCGUGAAUCAUCGAAUCUUUGAACGCACAUUGCGCCCGCCAGUAUUCUGGCGGGCAUGUCUGUUCGAGCGUCAUUUCAACCAUCAAGCCCCCGGCUUGUGUUGGGGACCUGCGGCUGCCGCAGGCCCUGAAAACCAGUGGCGGGCUCGCUAGUCACUCCGAGCGUAGUAAUACAUCUCGCUCAGGGCGUGCUGCGGGUUCCGGCCGUUAAAAAGCCUUAUUUACCCAAGGUUGACCUCGGAUCAGGUAGGAAGACCCGCUGAACUUAAGCAUAUCAAUAAGCGGAGGA